CAUGGCCUGGGGUCAGUUCCGUUCAGCCUGGAGUUGCUGCUUUUUUCCUGAGUUUCUGUGGGGCCACACUCUCCUGCUGCCCCUGGGUAGCUCCUGGCUCGUCCUUGGCUGUGCUGUAAACCACCAAUGGAUACCAUUACCAUCAGCCCUCCAUGUUCAGUACUGCAGAUUGCCGAUCUGGUUUCCUCCAGGAAGAUGAUGAGGUUGUUGCUACCUGGAUGCAGGUGCAACGAGGAGCUGCUCUGGGCACAGCAAAUCUUCGCACUCCAGCACCCUGCUCGGCGUCUGCAUCUUGGUAUCAUCCAGAAGGAGUGACAGAAUAAUAAUUCUCAUCUCAUGUUAAGAGGCAACAGGAAUACAAAUCACGGCUGGCAUCUCCUUCUGAUGGCUGCACUGGGCACUGAGACUUGAGGUUGCCUCCAAACUGUUGUUGCUGCUGGGGAUGAAACCUCACACUGGACUGAGGAUCUCCACUUAUGUCUGUUGUCUGGGCCCUUCCUGGCAGCUCAGCAGAAGACAAAAGGGGCCAGGAUGGGUUGUCCUGCAGGAAAAACAAAAUCUUUCCAACAACCUUCUUAGUGUUAGAGAGUCAAGGCAUUGCUUUAUUCUGGCCAGGAUGUGCAACAGAAACAAUUUCAUUCGCACAUUGUCCAGGUUGUGCAGAGAAAAUAAUUCCAUCACGCAUGACUCUUUACUAGAUUUUUCAUAUACUUAUGCAAUCAAAACCCAGAAAAAGUCAUUGGUUCAAUGUUCAUUGGCCCCAGGUUAUGCAGUUCUUAGUAUUUGGUUUCCUAUUGGUUAUUGACCCCUUUGCCUUCUGUGUUAAUGUCUCAUUCUUCCUUCUCUUAUCUAUCUUUUCCCCAGCCAGGUGUCUCCAACCAUGCCAGGGGUGAUGUUUAGAGUUGAUGUUCAUUAAUAAUCAUUAUCUUUUUUGUAUCUUCUGUAUUACUUCCAGUCUGUUGAGAUGUUAAGCUCAUCAGGCCUUGAAUGGUGAAACAGCCCUUUGAAAAGAAGCUUCAAUUCCUUUCCCCCGGGCAAAGGUGAACAAAGUCCCUGACUAAAGUUAUAUAAAUUGAUUUCAAACUUUGUAUAAUUUCCAACACCAUGUGUGGACCUCUCUGAACUUGAUUACUGGGAUUUUUGGUUGGAUGAAAUCUUCCUCUGUAGCUUAACAAACCUAAGGUUUGCCUCAUCUCUAACAAAUUUUAGAUAUACUUAGAUCCUUUAUGACUUUUCAUGUUUGAGGGUUUUGUGGCAAUUUCCUUCCAUCUGAGUUUAUAUCCAGCAUAAAUAUGUCAGCAUGCCUCAUGCAGAGCUCAGCCUGGCGAGAUUGGCAAUUCACUUCUUGUAGAUCCUUUUACUGAGCAACCUGUUGCAGGUGUCUCAGGCAAUUUAAAGCCCAAUUUCCUAAGGAUUCCUUGAACUUUUGAUUCAAAGUCAUUAUUUUGCACUUCCAACAGCACCAUACACAUCCUGAGCUAAGUGUAGCCUGUGUCUGUGUGUGCUGACCUGCUGCAAGGCCCAGGGAGGUUGCAGACCUCUCUGCUUGCUUUCUGCAGCCAAAAUGUUUUCAGUGGUUGAAGGAGCAAAAUCUCCUAGAAAAUGCACUAUUAUUAAGCUGCAAGGAGGUGCCUUCAGAAAGGAGAAAAGGCAGAUUUUGGGUUACUGCCAUCCCUUCAAAGGGAGGGAUUUCAAGCCUGUUGUCCCCAAUGUGUUAGAGGACUCCAAAAUGUGCACUGGAGCUGCAGUGUGGAGCUCUCCCAAGCCUGAGCAAUUGCCCUUAGGAAGAAACCCCAUAGAGAAGCAGAGACUGUGGGAAUCAGGUCAGCCUGAUGAGCAGCAAAAGCCUGUCCAGGGAUACAAACAGCCAUAUGGGACAGGCUGGCUGAGCCCUCUGGCUAUACAGACUUCAUUGCUUAUCAGCACUGGUGAACCCUGCCCUGGACUUCAACCAGGACUGGAUGUCAACCAGAACAAAUCCAUAGCUGGAAAGUGACAGAUCCUGAGCUGGGGAGCUCAGGAGCAGCAAUGUAAGGAGGGAGGCAGGAAUGUAAUUACAAGUCUGCAGGAGGCAGGGAAAGUGCCAGCUGGAUGCAGGGGGUCUUUCAUUGGAACAACAGUAAGUUCUCCUCCCUAUAACCAAGGAUGCUGAAAUGAAUUGUGCAUCUCUUUUGGUUAGAAGGACCAAAACAGUGCCCUGGCCGAUGUUUGACAUGAAUAACUGAGGAUUACAUGAAAUUUGAAAAUGCUUUGGGCAGCAGGCUAUUUUGGAAACUGAGAUUUUGACAAAGAGUGCGUGCAGAUUAGAGGUAAAAUCAGAUAGAACCAUGGCAUGGGCUUUCACUGGUCCGUAAAUUCUGGCCCCUGGCAUGACAGAGAUCCACUAUGGAGUAAGGGGCCCCAGCUGAGUUUAUGGCAGGGGUUUUGUAUUGCCUGGGGUAUGUGGCUCUUCUACUACACAUUUCAGAAUCCUCUCUCUUUGAGGGUAAGAUUGCCAGUAAUAUAUGUUGGAGGUAGUAAACAGUUGUUAGACAAAUUGCUCUGGGAUUUUAUGGUGAUGUGAGACUUCUCUCAAAGAACAUAAACUGGGACUAAUUUUCUCUGGUGAGGAGUGGGGUCAGUCUCAACAGAUGCUCAAGGCUUGACACUUAUUUGGGAAAUGCAUCCUUUGAUUUUUGGCUGCUAGCUACUUAUAGGGGAAAGUAUAAUGUUAAAAACUGCCACAGGGAAAGAAUAUUCCAGCCCAAAUGAAAAUGUAGUAACUCAGAGCUAGAGAUGCCUGCUGAGUGACUUUUUUUUACCAAGAAGGUAACAUUUGCUGUUGGCUUGCUGUUUUGAACAGACAAAAACAGCCAUACUUUGCUAGAUAGGGUAUUUAGUAGCAGAACCUCAAUAAAGAUGCUGCUAACUUAGGGAAGAUCUUGUAUUAUUCUGUGGAGUAGGAAAUAUUACAUGAGAAGCAUAAGAAGACAAGUGUUGGCCAGACUCUGCUGUGGUGGUGCUGGGAAACCUGAAGGUCCCAUCUCUGUGCUGCUCCAGGAGCACAGCAUGGAACAUCCUACCUAACCAGGAGUGUGCAUCCAUGGUCAGCAAGUUGUGUUUGGGUUGACCCUUCUGUUUGUUUUAAACAAGAGUCUGCACUACAACAAAUUGCUUCCAGAGGUGGAGCAUCUUAAGAGCUAUAGGAUAAUGAUAGUAUGCACAUUUGUGUGUGUGGGUGUGAAUUUGCACAAUUUGCUUCUUUUCCAUCCAGGGUAAAGGAUAUUAACAGCUCUAGGGAGGGAGCUGUUUCUUUUAACCUGUCAGUGGCUAUUUGCUUCUGCUACCCACCAGAAGCAGACCUGGGAUAGGAUGUGACAGACCGUCUGUUUAGUCUUCUCUUGCCACAUUUCUUUGGCUCCAUUCAUGUGUGUGCAGGCAGCUGUCUGCAAACAGUGUGGUUGCCGUCCCCAGUGCCUCCUGUAAACCACUGCUGCUGUGCCACAGCUCCCAGUACCACAUUGGCUGCCACUUUCUUGGCUGUCUCACUUCACCAGCCCUGAUAACACUCUUCUUUCACCCCAAGGCAGAGUGGGAGCACAGCAGACCACCAGUAUUCCAGCCACGGAUCCGUGGCUGUGGCUGUUGGCACUGGUGUGUGCCUGGCCAGGGUCUCUCUCUUACCCUGCCUGCAUUGCUUAGGGAUACAGGAAGCUUUGAGGGGCAGGAUCUUCUUCUUCUUCUUCUCCUCUGGCAACACAGCACCUACAGUGUUGUUACAGUUCCUGAGAACUGUAACAAGGAAUGUCAUAAUGAACCAGGGAUACAGAGCAUUAAAAAGAAAAGCAUCCUCCUGGCAUCUAACCUUCUCUGGUAGCUCUCAGGGACUGCUUGGUGUGAGAGAAGUCUGUUCCAUGACAGAGUACUAGUGGGAUAGAUCCCAGUUCUGUUUCCUCCCCUUUUUUUACUGUCAGAAGAAUUCACUGAAUUAGCUCAAACUCAGGGUAUUUUUCUCAAGCAUUUUACAGGGAAUUAGUAAUACUCACAGGCUGUAUUCCUAGAGAAAGACCAUACAAUAAUCUACAAAUUCAUGGCCUGAGACGAUGCUUGUAAAUAAAUCACAGAGGAAGAACUGAGUCUCCUUUAAAAAGUGCUCCCAGUGUGUUGCACUGAUAAUUAUUGUGAUUAUAAGGGAAGCAGUUACAGACAAAAGGCUGGGAAAGAGGUUAAUUGAGAUGGUUCACUCUAGUCUAAUCGUAUAGAGCACAAAGUAAUAUAAUUGAAUACAGAGUCUCCACAAGCAGCUGUGCUGUAUAAGUUUUGAUGUCUCUAAAAAAAAACAUUAUAGAAGUUUUCUAAUGUCACAUAGGAAACCAUACAGGGAAACUUAGACAAGAAAUUAUUAGAUUACAGGCUUUGAUAGCAGAUGUGUAGUAGAAAACAGAAUAUCUAGUCCAGUCUGGUUUUAAAACAAAUUUAUUUGGGGUCUGUAAUUCUUUUGUUUCAAGGGUAUUUAAUGUAAUCAAAAUAAUAAAUGUGUGCAUCUUUCUGGUUGCAGAGGCAUCUUAGGUGACCAAAAUAGUGAAUACAGCUUCCCAGGCUCACCUGUCUGUCUAGCUGUGGGCAAACUUUCAUGUGUAUCAGGAUUCAGCUGUUGGAUGUUCUGUAAUUAUCUACUUUUUCACAAUAAGUUAAAGUUAAUUAAUUCAAAUUUUCAUCAACUCUUCUGUGCUGUAAUAGACCAAGUCAUAUUGAAAUAAAAUGAACUUUUGAGGACAGCUGUCAUGGUCUGUUUGGGUAUUUCAGAUUCACAGAGCAAUGUACUCUGUAAAUAAAGCUUUAUUUUAUAAGCUCAUUGAGAAAGAAAGGAAGAAACACAACCAACAAGGGCUCAAUUGCCUUUGCACAGAGUAGUCUGCCAUGUGAAUUCACUAAUUCAUCACGUAAGUUGUGAGGUUUCUAAUUCACAA